rnacentral:rRNA from 1 species
AACGAACGCUGGCGGCAUGCCUAACACAUGCAAGUCGAACGAGACCUUCGUGUCGAGUGGUGCAUGGGUGCGUAACGCGUGGGAACUUGCCAUUAGAUUCGGAAUAACUCCCCGAAAGGGGUGCUAAUACCGGAUAUUGUCUUCGGACCAACGAUUGAUCGCCUUUGGAUGGGCCCGCGUUGGAUUGGCUAUUGGGUAGGGAAAAAGCCUACCAAGGCGACGUCCCAUAGCUGGUCGGGACGGAUGACCAGCCACAGUGGGACUGGGACACGGCCCGGACUCCUACGGGGAGAGGCGGAAGGGAAUAUUGGCCAAGGGGCAAAAGCCUACUGCGGCAAUGCCGCGGGGGUGAGGAGGGCCUUAGGGUUGUAAAGCCCUUUUUCCCGGAAGGAGAAUGACAGUACCGGGAGAAGAAGCACCGGCUAACUCCGUG